GGGGUUAGCAAUUCAGCUCGUUGUGUACAGAUUAGUUCGUGUUUAGUUCGGAAUGAAUUCGAUAUCGAAUCGUUUAUUUUAUAAACGAGUCAAAUACGAGUUGAAUUUUUCAGCUCAUUUAAUAAACAAGACAAAAACGAGCAGAAACAGCUUGUUCGUGUUCGGCUUAAUAAGAGCUCGAAAACAAAUAUUUUAUAUUUAUAUAUAAAAAUAAUUUUAUAUAUAUAUAUAUAUAUAUAUUGAGAGAGAUAGAUAGUAUGCUAUCCGCUUCGUUUAUUUCAUUGAGAAAUAAACUUAGCUAGAAAUGUGAAUCUAACUAUGAUUCGAAUUUGGGAUCUCGAAUACUAACUAUCAAACCCUUUACCAUUUGCAUUAGGAACGGUUGGUAAAAUAAUUAUAUAUUUUUAAGAGGCAAAUAAUACAUUAAUAUUAUAGAAUCUUAUAUAAAUUAAUUAUAUUAAAAAAUUUAAAAGUC
rnacentral:lncRNA from 1 species